rnacentral:rRNA from 1 species
AACGAACGCUGGCGGCAUGCCUAACACAUGCAAGUCGAACGAGACCUUCGGGUCUAGUGGCGCACGGGUGCGUAACGCGGGGGAAUCUGCCCUUGGGUGCGGAAUAACAGUUAGAAAUGACUGCUAAUACCGCAUAAUGACUCAGGUCCAAAGAUUAAUCGCCCAGGGAUGAGCCCGCGUCGGAUGAGCUCGUUGGUAGGGUAAAAGCCUACCAAGGCAACGAUCCGUAGCUGGUCUGAGAGGAUGAUCAGCCACACUGGGACUGAGACACGGCCGAGAUUUCUACGGGAGGCAGCAGUGGGGAAUAUUGGACAAUGGGCGAAAGCCUGAUCCAGCAAUGCCGCGUGAGUGAUGAAGGCCGAGGGUUGUAAAGCUCUUUUACCCGGGAUGAUAAUGACAGUACCGGGAGAAUAAGCCCCGGCUAACUCCGUGCCAGCCGCCGCAGUAAUAC